rnacentral:misc_RNA from 1 species
UUUCCGUAGGUGAACCUGCGGAAGGAUCAUUACUGAGUGAGGGCCCUCUGGGUCCAACCUCCCACCCGUGUUUAUUGUACCUUGUUGCUUCGGUGCGCCCGCCUCACGGCCGCCGGGGGGCUUCUGCCCCCGGGUCCGCGCGCACCGGAGGCACCAUUGAACUCUGUCUGAAGAUUGCAGUCUGAGCAUAAACUAAAUAAGUUAAAACUUUCAACAACGGAUCUCUUGGUUCCG